rnacentral:rRNA from 1 species
UGGGGAAUAUUGCACAAUGGAGGGAACUCUGAUGCAGCGACGCCGCGUGAGUGAUGAAGGAAUUCGUUUCGUAAAACUCUGUUCUAUGGGAAGAAAAGGACUGUACCAUAGGAGAAAGCUCCGGCUAAAUACGUGCCAGCAGCCGCGGUAAUACGUAUGGAGCGAGCGUUGUCCGGAAUUAUUGGGCGUAAAGGGUGCGCAGGCGGCUUUACAAGUUGGAUGUGAAAUAUUGUGGCUCAACCACAAACGUGCAUCCAAAACUGCAAAGCUUGAGUUAAGGAGAGGUAAGUGGAAUUCCUGGUGUAGCGGUGGAAUGCGUAGAUAUCAGGAAGAAUACCGGUGGCGAAGGCGACUUACUGGACUUAAACUGACGCUCAGGCACGAAAGCGUGGAGAGCAAACAGG